GUUCCUCCCAAGAUGCCACCCGCUUCAUUCAAGUGUCUGGCAGCACUGUGUUCCUGUUAGAGCCACCAGCACAAGCACCAGACGAUGCUGAUCCAGGUGAAAGCCCCAGUGCAGCAGCAACAGCACAUGAUGGAGACGAUGAUGAGGAGGAGACCAUCUCUCUGGAUUCCAGAAGGCAUGAGGACCCAGAUGCUAUACAGUGGGAAAACCAGCCUGGCAACAUAGUGCGUAUUAAUAAAAGGACACCACAUCCUGCCAAAUUCCAGCUGCGCUAAUUGUAUUGUGUUCACAGAGCUCAUAAGCUAUCAGAAAGUUGUAUGGCAACCACCUCCGGCGCCAAAUAGAACUGGCAGACAUAGACAUUCAGUACAAGAAGAAAAAGAUAGAAAAUCUUGCACUGGAGUCCGAAAUAAAAAAGAGGACAAUUAGGAAACUGGACCUUGAAAUAAAAAAACUUGAG